AAACGGGUGGGCUAUAGCCUUGGUGGGGGGCGUGGGCGAAGUUCGUCCGCGGGACUCGGAAUGGCCCCAACCUUGGCGGGCAGCCUCCGUGUGCCAAAAAUAGGCCACGGGCACAGCCGCGCCCAAAAAUCAGCCCCCGAAGGUCGGGGUCACAAGACCCCCCAGCGGAAAAAUGGCCAAGAAACGCAUGGGCUAUAGCCUUGGUGGGGGGCGUGGGCGAAGUUCGUCCGCGGGACUCGGAAUGGCCCCAGAUUUGGCGGGCGCCCUCCGUGUGCCAAAAAUAGGCCACGGGCACAGCCGCGCCCAAAAAUCAGCCCCCGAAGGUCGGGGUCCCAAGACCCCCCAGCGGAAAAAUGGCCAAGAAACGCGUGGGCUAUAGCCUUGGUGGGGGGCGUGGGCGAAGUUCGUCCGCGGGACUCGGAAUGGCCCCAGACUUGGCGGGCGGCCUCCGUGUGCCAAAAAUAGGCCACGGGCACAGCCGCGCCCAAAAAUCAGCCCCCGAAGGUCGGGGUCACAAGACCCCCCAGCGGAAAAAUGGCCAAGAAACGGGUGGGCUAUAGCCUUGGUGGGGGGCGUGGGCGAAGUUCGUCCGCGGGACUCGGAAUGGCCCCAGACUUGGCGGGCGGCCUCCGUGUGCCAAAAAUAGGCCACGGGCACAGCCGCGCCCAAAAAUCAGCCCCCGAAGGUCGGGGUCCCAAGACCUCCCAGCGGAAAAAUGGCCAAGAAACGCGUGGGCUAUAGCCUUGGUGGGGGGCGUGGGCGAAGUUCGUCCGCGGGACUCGGAAUGGCCCCAGACUUGGCGGGCGGCCUCCGUGUGCCAAAAAUAGGCCACGGGCACAGCCGCGCCCAAAAAUCAGCUCCCGAAGGUCGGGGUCCCAAGACCCCCCAGCGGAAAAAUGGCCAAGAAACGGGUGGGCUAUAGCCUUGGUGGGAGGCGUGGGCGAAGUUCGUCCGCGGGACUCGGAAUGGCCCCAGACUUGGCGGGCGGCCUCCGUGUGCCAAAAAUAGGCCACGGGCACUGCCGCGCCCAAAAAUCAGCCCCCGAAGGUCGGGGUCCCAAGACCCCCCAGCGGAAAAAAGGCCAAGAAACGCGUGGGCUAUAGCCUUGGUUGGGGGCGUGGGCGAAGUUCGUCCGCGGGACUCGGAAUGGCCCCAGACUUGGCGGGCGGCCUCCGUGUGCCAAAAAUAGGCCACGGGCACAGCCGCGCC
rnacentral:lncRNA from 1 species